rnacentral:tRNA from 1 species
CGGGCGCUUAGCUCAGCCUGGACAGAGCACUUGGCUUCGGACCAAGAUGCCGCGGGUUCAAAUCCUGCAGCGCCCGU